GGAGGGAUGGCCGAGUGGACGAUGGCGGUUGUCUUGAAAACAACUGUAGUGAAAGCUACCGGGGGUUCGAAUCCCUCUCCCUCCG
rnacentral:tRNA from 1 species